rnacentral:RNase_P_RNA from 1 species
GCAGACCGAACAGUUGCGGGUACAGAACCGAAAGGCUGUAUGCGAGGAAAGUCCGAGCUCCGCAGGGCAGAAUAACGGCUAACGGCCGCCGGGGGUGACCCUAGGGAAAGUGCAACAGAGAUAUACCGCCGAUUUUUCGGUAAGGGUGGAAAGGCGAGGUAAGAGCUCACCGUCACAAGUGAGAGCUUGUGGACAUGUAAACCCUAUUCGGAGCAACACCGUGGAUGGACAAUACGCUUGCCCGGCGUGUCCUAUGGAGGUGGCAGUGAGCAGUUCGGUAACGGGCUGCCAAGAUAGAUGACUGUUUAAAACAGAACUCGGCUUACAGGUCUGGUCU